CAGCCGCCGCGGUAAUACGAAGGGUGCAAGCGUUAAUCGGAAUUACUGGGCGUAAAGCGUGCGUAGGCGGUUUGUUAAGUCUGUUGUGAAAUCCCCGGGCUCAACUUGGGAAUGGCGAUGGAUACUGGCAAGCUAGAGUGUGUCAGAGGAUGGUGGAAUUCCCGGUGUAGCGGUGAAAUGCGUAGAGAUCGGGAGGAACAUCAGUGGCGAAGGCGGCCAUCUGGGACAACACUGACGCUGAGGCACGAAAGCGUGGGGAGCAAACAGGAUUAGAUACCCGAGUAGUCCCUGUCUCUUAUAC
rnacentral:rRNA from 1 species